rnacentral:rRNA from 1 species
GUAGGGUGCAAGCGUUGUCCGGAAUUACUGGGCGUAAAGAGCUCGUAGGUGGUUUGUCGCGUCGUCUGUGAAAUCCCGGGGCUUAACUUCGGGCGUGCAGGCGAUACGGGCAUAACUUGAGUGCUGUAGGGGAGACUGGAAUUCCCGGUGUAACGGUGGAAUGUGUAGAUAUCGGGAAGAACACCAAUGGCGAAGGCAGGUCUCUGGGCCGUUACUGACGCUGAGGAGCGAAAGCGUGGGGAGCGAACAGGAUUAGAUACCCUGGUAGUCCACGCCGUAAACGGUGGAUGCUGGAUGUGGGGCCCUUUCCACGGGUUCCGUGUCGGAGCUAACGCGUUAAGCAUCCCGCCUGGGGAGUACGGCCGCAAGGCUA